rnacentral:lncRNA from 1 species
AAAAAAUUAGGCAAGUGGGUUUACGUAAUCUUGAGUUGUGGGGCGGCAAUUUAGAUCAAGAUUCAUUAAUUCAAUUAAAUGGAUUUGAGUUUAAAAGAAUUAAUUGAAGCUCCACCCUUCAUUUUCAUUUUCACUUGAAUUUGAAGACUUAUUUCUUCAUUACCCCAAAUGAAAGCCAAACCAAACACUCCCAAAAAUUAGAUCAACGCUCUCUCAUCCUAAAUUUUCCGACAAGCUUCAUUUCUCUUGGCUAUGGCAGUGACAAGGUCUUGAAUAGCUACACUUGUGACUAAUUCGACCGUCAAUUUCAUCCUUCCUUACGCCUUUGAGUUUCUUCAGCUACUUAUUUUUUAUUGUAUUUGUUUUUAGCUUGGAUCUAGUUGUAAUGAAUUGAUUUUGUUGAUUAGAUUGUAAAUGAAUUUAGGAGAAUCCAUUCGAUUCUUUAUUUAUUAUUUAAUUUAAUUUUGCAUAAUAAAUAAAUU